rnacentral:rRNA from 1 species
UGUGUAGGUGGCGCGCUAAGUCGGGUGUGAAAUUUCGGAGCUUAACUCCGAAACUGCAUUCGAUACUGGCGUGCUUGAGGACUGGAGAGGAGACUGGAAUUUACGGUGUAGCAGUGAAAUGCGUAGAUAUCGUAAGGAAGACCAGUGGCGAAGGCGGCUUUCUGGACAGUAACUGACGCUGAGGCGCGAAAGCCGGGGGAGCAAACA